CAAAGUGGGUUCAUCUCCACUUGAUUAACUGCAGGAGGAAUCUUUGCAGUAGCAAGCAGGGUCUCAAGCUUCUUGAUUGAAAAGUUGCUCACUCCAAUGGAUUUUGUCAGGCCAAGCUUUUGACAAUCUUCCAUAGCUUCCCACACAGACUUUAAAUCAAAUGGAACAAGGUCCUUUUGCUUCACAGGCAGCUCAUAUUCACCUGGCUUCACGCUCACAGGCCAGUGAACCAGGUACAGGUCGAGGUAAUCCAAUUUAAGAUUCUUGAGAGUUUUAUGUAGUGCAGGGAGGACACAAUCAUGAUGAGCGUCACUGCACCAAAGCU
rnacentral:misc_RNA from 1 species